AUUGAACGCUGGCGGAAUGCUUUACACAUGCAAGUCGAACGGCAGCACGGGGGCAACCCUGGUGGCGAGUGGCGAACGGGUGAGUAAUACAUCGGAACGUGCCCGGUCGUGGGGGAUAACGUAGCGAAAGUUACGCUAAUACCGCAUACGAUCUGAGGAUGAAAGCGGGGGACCUUCGGGCCUUGCGCGAUCGUAGCGGCCGAUGUCAGAUUAGGUAGUUGGUGGGGUAAAGGCCUACUAAGCCGACGAGCUGUAGCUGGUCUGAGAGGACGACCAGCCACACUGGGACUGAGACACGGCCCAGACUCCUGCGGGAGGCCGCAGUGGGGAAUUUUGGACAAUGGGGGCGAGCCUGAUCCAGCCAUACCGCGUGCAGGACGAAGGCCUUCGGGUUGUAAACUGCUUUUGUAUGGAGCGAAAAGGCUCUGGCUAAUACCUGGGGCUCAUGACGGUACCGGAAGAAUAAGCACCGGCUAACUACGUG
rnacentral:rRNA from 1 species